CUUCACAGCAAGUGGGCUUGGGCCCAACUCUGAAUCCAGCCAUGCAAACACAAUCCAGCCCGUGAAACCCUAGCAGGGCUACCAAGAAAAUACUACUGAGACAUCAAGACGUGAAUGGAGAAUGUUUGGGAGCCUCUGGAUUAAACUGUCCUUGCUUUUGUCUGGGACACGGGUUCGAGCCCUGAUCUGGGAAGAUCCCACAUGCCGCGGAGCAACUGGGCCC